ACGUCGUCCGGAACGGCAAGGCCUGGCCAGAAAAAACGGCGACGUACACGGUCAUAGGUUCGAGAUACGCCGAGGUGUCCUGCCGUUGGUGCGUCGUGAAGCUCUUCUAGAACGGUUGAGCGGAGGCGUUUAGGUAUGAGCAGCAGUAAGGUAAGGUAUGUUGUUUAGGUAACAACACGAGCAGCAGCGACGGUGGUGAUCGGACGCCCCCUUAUCUGCUUUGUUUUCGCCUUACAGAUUUCAACGACGAACCCUGCUGCCCCGGCCUCAGGACAGCUCCAAGUGUGACGUCACAGACUUUUGCGCCACCGCUCUUCUGCCGGCCGAGCUGUAAACGGGUCACACGAGCAGCAGCGACGGUGGUGAUCGGACGCCCCCUUAUCUGCUUUGUUUUCGCCUUACAGGUUGGUGAAAAACCUACCUUCUUACUUGCCAUUUUCUUUCACCACCGCUGCUGCUGCCGUGUUGCUCGCUGCUGCCUUGUUUUUUACCGUGCUCUCAGUUGUAGUGUUAGUAGAAAGAUUUCCCAUUUUAAACCUGUAUGUUGCAUAAGCUAUACCAAGGCUAAUAUGCCGGAGACAUGCCCUGCCUGCAAAGAAUGUCUGCCAAGUGACGGACUCGCCAUCAAGUGCACCGAAUCUGUUCAAAAUCUCCGGGAUCGGCCCACGCAAGAGGCCAUGUUUCUACCAGAAAGCUCGCCUUCAUUCAUAGCAUUAGCCACUAGCGUUUCCCGUGACAGAGGCAAGAGGAUACUAACCAUGAAUUGCUCGUCCUCACCGUCUUCUGCUCCAGCUGCUGUGUGCAGAAGGAUGCGAGCCCUGGCAAGUCCUGUGCUCCUUCCUUCUCCAUGGCGCCUCUUCCGG